rnacentral:rRNA from 1 species
CCCUUAGAUGUCCUGGGCCGCACGCGCGCUACACUGAUGCGAUCAACAAGUUUUUCCUAUGUCGAUAGACACGGGUAAUCUUUUGAACUCGCAUCGUGAUGGGGAUAGAUUAUUGUAAUUAUUAAUCUUCAACGAGGAAUUCCUAGUAGGUGCAAAUCAUCAGUUUGCAUCGAUUACGUCCCUGCCCUUUGUACACACCGCCCGUCGCUGCUACCGAUUGGUUGAUCUGGUGAAUUAUUCGGACUGCCGGCUGAAGGGGUUUCCUCAUCUGCCAGCGGAAAGUCUUGUUAACCCUAUCAACUAGAGGAAGCAGAAGUCGUAACA